CAUAAAUUUAUGUUAUUUAUAAAUAAUUUUUACUAGUUUACAAAAGCUUUUCCCUUUCUUGCGAGUACAGUUUACUGAAGAAAAAAAGUGUCAAAGAAAGCUUUUCGAGCCACUUACAGUGGCUCUUCAAAAAGUUAUUUGUCAAGUGAAUUUUUUUUUGAGAGUUGAAUUAGCCCUUCCGAAAUAAUUUUUCGUUUGUCCUAAUCCCUCAAUUAUUAUUCUUUCUUUAUUGUGACUAACAAUUCCCUUCUAGUUCCUUUCUUGGUUUUAGAUUCAUAUUCUGUUUCAGUUCUAACAUUGUUAAUUGUUUUUGUCGAUUUAAAAACUAGAUCCGAGAGGAAAUGUGUCACUCCAAUCCAAAGGGAAGAAGACUAAUUUGGAUACUGAAAGAGUUUCCACUCAAGAAAAGUCAAAGCCCAACAUCAUAUCAUCACGCGAGGCGGUUCCGAAUGUAGAAGAUGCUAAGGACAUUCCUCUUGGUCACCCUCAUUUCAUUUGGACCAUGAAAUCCUAUAACCUUUCAAAAUGUUUUCUGCAACUUCCAAGCCCAUUUGCAAGGCUGAACGGUCUCAAGAAAAGGAAAUGUGCGAUAACGAUAAGAGAUGAGCAAAGGUCAUGGACAUUUAGGCUGUAUUCGUCUGGCAGACACACCUGCAUUGCAGGCGGAUGGCGUGACUUCUGCAUUGCUAAUGGCUUAAAGGAAGGAGAUCGAGUAAUGUUCGGGAUAGUCGCCAAUGGAGAGAAGCCUAUAUUGAAGUUUCACGGCAAAUAUCUCAUCCAAGCCCUUCUCUUAAAUUUCAUCCAGUUCUCCAAUUUUGUUUUCAAGUUUUCUGAGUCUUUCAGUUGAUCUUCUCAGAAGCCCUAUAUUUCUGGGAGUUGAAUAAGCCCUUCAAGAAAGAAAACAAUCAUCUCUUCUUUUCUGCCCAAAAUUAUUUUCAUUCUUUAAUGUGUCAUUUACAUUUCUUUCCUAUUUUCCUUUUUUCAUUUCUCUGGUUCUAAUGUUCUUUCUUUAAUUUUCAUGCAUUUUUUUAGGGAACAGGCCUCAAGAUUGAGGACUUGGAUAUACUUGGAUGACCAUGUAAGCUAUUAACCCGACUAGUCCUUCUAUCGUAGAUAUUCAGACAAGUUAAUGAAGCAGUUGGUGAUGGGCAAGGGAAAGGACCACUGAAGAAUAUGAUGUUUUUGUAUCUAUCUAGUACAUACAUGUUUCCCUAAGGUUUACUUUGAAUUUUUGUUCUUCAAAAGCCAAAACUGAAAACUGCUUUUGUCUGUUGUAUUCUUGUUCUGCUUCAACUAAUUCUCAUCUGAUCAUGUGACAUGCACAAGUUUCUUAAAAAUUUUGUUGCAUUCAGUGAUCAUUGAGUUCUAAUUUGACCAACUCGCUAGAUAUUUACCUGCAUUCAAUAUUUA